rnacentral:rRNA from 1 species
CCUACGGGAGGCAGCAGUGAGGAAUAUUGGUCAAUGGACGAGAGUCUGAACCAGCCAAGUAGCGUGAAGGAUGACUGACCUAUGGGUUGUAAACUUCUUUUAUAUGGGAAUAAAAUGUUCCACGUGUGGGAUUUUGUAUGUACCAUAUGAAUAAGGAUCGGCUAACUCCGUGCCAGCAGCCGCGGUAAUACGGAGGAUCCGAGCGUUAUCCGGAUUUAUUGGGUUUAAAGGGAGCGUAGGUGGAUUGUUAAGUCAGUUGUGAAAGUUUGCGGCUCAACCGUAAAAUUGCAGUUGAAACUGGCAGUCUUGAGUACAGUAGAGGUGGGCGGAAUUCGUGGUGUAGCGGUGAAAUGCUUAGAUAUCACGAAGAACUCCGAUGGCGAAGGCAGCUUACUGGACUGCAACUGACACUGAGGCUCGAAAGUGUGGGUAUCAAACAGGAUUAGAUACCCUAGUAGUC